rnacentral:rRNA from 1 species
GGAAGAUGUAACGGGGCUAAACCAUGCACCGAAGCUGCGGCAGCGACGUUUAUGCGUUGUUGGGUAGGGGAGCGUUCUGUAAGCCUGCGAAGGUGGCCUGUGAGGGUUGCUGGAGGUAUCAGAAGUGCGAAUGCUGACAUAAGUAACGAUAAAGCGGGUGAAAAGCCCGCUCGCCGGAAGACCAAGGGUUCCUGUCCAACGUUAAUCGGGGCAGGGUGAGUCGACCCCUAAGGCGAGGCCGAAAGGCGUAGUCGAUGGGAAACGGGUUAAUAUUCCCGUACUUGGUGUUACUGCGAAGGGGGGACGGAGAAGGCUAUGUUGGCCGGGCGACGGUUGUCCCGGUUUAAGCGUGUAGGCUGGUUUUCCAGGCAAAUCCGGAAAAUCAAGGCUGAGGCGUGACGACGAGGCACUACGGUGCUGAAGCAACAAAUGCCCUGCUUCCAGGAAAAGCCUCUAAGCAUCAGGUAACAUCAAAUCGUACCCCAAACCGACACAGGUGGUCAGGUAGAGAAUACCAAGGCGCUUGAGAGAACUCGGGUGAAGGAACUAGGCAAAAUGGUGCCGUAACUUCGGGAGAAGGCACGCUGACAUGUAGGUGAAGUGAUUUACUCAUGGAGCUGAAGUCAGUCGAAGAUACCAGCUGGCUGCAACUGUUUAUUAAAAACACAGCACUGUGCAAACACGAAAGUGGACGUAUACGGUGUGACGCCUGCCCGGUGCCGGAAGGUUAAUUGAUGGGGUCAGCGCAAGCGAAGCUCCUGAUCGAAGCCCCGGUAAACGGCGGCCGUAACUAUAACGGUCCUAAGGUAGCGAAAUUCCUUGUCGGGUAAGUUCCGACCUGCACGAAUGGCGUAAUGAUGGCCAGGCUGUCUCCACCCGAGACUCAGUGAAAUUGAACUCGCUGUGAAGAUGCAGUGUACCCGCGGCAAGACGGAAAGACCCCGUGAACCUUUACUAUAGCUUGACACUGAACAUUGAGCCUUGAUGUGUAGGAUAGGUGGGAGGCUUUGAAGUGUGGACGCCAGUCUGCAUGGAGCCGACCUUGAAAUACCACCCUUUAAUGUUUGAUGUUCUAACGUGGACCCGUUACCCGGGUUGCGGACAGUGUCUGGUGGGUAGUUUGACUGGGGCGGUCUCCUCCUAAAGAGUAACGGAGGAGCACGAAGGUUGGCUAAUCCUGGUCGGACAUCAGGAGGUUAGUGCAAUGGCAUAAGCCAGCUUGACUGCGAGCGUGACGGCGCGAGCAGGUGCGAAAGCAGGUCAUAGUGAUCCGGUGGUUCUGAAUGGAAGGGCCAUCGCUCAACGGAUAAAAGGUACUCCGGGGAUAACAGGCUGAUACCGCCCAAGAGUUCAUAUCGACGGCGGUGUUUGGCACCUCGAUGUCGGCUCAUCACAUCCUGGGGCUGAAGUAGGUCCCAAGGGUAUGGCUGUUCGCCAUUUAAAGUGGUACGCGAGCUGGGUUUAGAACGUCGUGAGACAGUUCGGUCCCUAUCUGCCGUGGGCGCUGGAGAACUGAGGGGGGCUGCUCCUAGUACGAGAGGACCGGAGUGGACGCAUCACUGGUGUUCGGGUUGUCAUGCCAAUGGCACUGCCCGGUAGCUAAAUGCGGAAGAGAUAAGUGCUGAAAGCAUCUAAGCACGAAACUUGCCCCGAGAUGAGUUCUCCCUGAGACUU